UACGGAGGGAGCUAGCGUUGUUCGGAAUUACUGGGCGUAAAGCGCACGUAGGCGGCUUUGUAAGUUAGAGGUGAAAGCCCGGGGCUCAACCCCGGAAUUGCCUUUAAGACUGCAUCGCUUGAAUCCGGGAGAGGUGAGUGGAAUUCCGAGUGUUGAGGUGAAAUUCGUAGAUAUUCGGAGGAACACCAGUGGCGAAGGCGGCUCACUGGCUCGGUACUGACGCUGAGGUGCGAAAGCGUGGGGAGCAAACAGG
rnacentral:rRNA from 1 species